rnacentral:tRNA from 1 species
GUAGGUAUAGUUUAGACAAAACAUUAGAAUGUGACCCUAAAAACAGGAAGUAAACCAAUCCUUACUUACC